GGGAUUUACCGAAACAAUGGCAAGGAAGGCUUCUUCAGGAGACCAUGAAGCAGUGAAGACGCAUGCCCUUCACAAUUUUUCAAAAGCGCGUUCUUGCCAUAUUUUCACCACCAUAAUUCAGUCACAAACUCUGGCGAAAGUGCAUUCAGUAUAUUUGGAGUAUUUCUCCACCUGCUUUCCUUCCAACAGUCACAUUUUAAAAUUGCACCUGGCCUAGACCCUAACUAGGACGCAGCAAUGUGCUUCAGGGCCACGUCGGUGACCACCCAGUCCCACUGGCAGAGCUGCGGCCCAUUUACCAAAACCCGCAGCCCUGGAGGACAGGACGUCAGAGGAAGAGGACGGGGCGCCACCUGCAGCCGCCCCGGAGAUUCCCGUGGAUGGCGGGGUCUACUGAGGCUUAAAUGCAGGCACACUUCUUCCCGGCAGGAUUUCCCACUUCGCGUCAGACAGCCUUUCGGACAGGUGCGUGGGUACUUGUGCGGAAAUGUGCCCUAAGCGGCCAAUCAAGGAAAUCGCGUGGGAACGUGCAACUCCGGCAAGGACUCAUCCGCGGCGACAUCAGGGAUAAAACACAACACCAGGUGGAAGUCACCCGCAGCUCUACUUAAGGCUGGAAGUCUAAAAAAGGCAUUUCCUGGUCCCUGCUGGUGACUCAGUGCGCGGUGACUCAGCCCGCGCGGUGCGUGCGCACAGAUGCUGCGGGCGGCGCGGGGCGCAGCGGGAACGUGCGCGCCUAUUUCAGGCGAGUCCGCGGAGAGCGGGACGCGCGGGCCACGCGCAGCGGAGGACGCACAAACCCGGCUUCCUGGAGGAAGCGCUGCCCGCGGGGGCUGCGGAAACGGUGAUUCAGCGCGGCUGCAGUCAACGUGCUGCGGCGCAGGGGAGGGAGGGGGCGCCUCCCGCAGGUGCUGGCAUCCAUGAUUCUGAUCAGGAAUAACUGCAAUAAGAACGGCCUAAGCGAUGCCGAACUCUGAGAGGUCUUAACACCUUCUCCGAGGCCACACGCACCUACGUCAUACUUGGAGCCGUGGAAGCUAGCACUCUCCACGUGUCUGCACUGGUGAUGUGGCUGGUGCCCGUUCCAGGUAAGAGUGCCUAGCACACUCAGCUGUCUCCCCACUGCACGCCUGGGGCAGCUAUUAGCAGACUUUGAAGGGAGUGCUAGGCCUUGUAGCCAACGCCAUAUUGCCAACUGUGGUUUGAGUUCUGGUCCUGGUAGUUUAACAUGCCAGGGACAUGUCCAUGCAUUCCCCAAAUA